AUGGAUCAUUACCAAAGGAUUAAUGAUAUGUUUUGUGAACAGUUUUGUAUUUUGGGAAGUCAGUGGAGGUUUGGUUGGUAGUGGUACUGGUAGUGGUGGUGGGAAUAGUCUGUUCAUUCAGUCAUGUCACCGCCACCGCCGCCGCCGCUUCAAAAAUCAUCGCUGGCUGACUACAUAAAAAAAUGUCUUCUUAAUUCCAAACUGAAGUCUACUUAGUUUCUGAACUAAAACAACUUUUAGCAACGGAUCUCUUGGCUCUC
rnacentral:misc_RNA from 1 species